GAAAUAAUAGGAAUUAGUCCAGUUAACCGGGUAUUGAACUGCCAAUUAUAUUAUAAUUAUAGGUUAGAGAUUCAUUUCCUACGGAUGAUAGAUCAUAAUCUAAAAAACCUAAAGGUGGGAAUGGAAGUCAAUAGCCCCAAUUAAUUCCGGUGGCUCCCAAUUAAACUAGGAUGAAUAAUCACCUACCACAUUAGCUGCUUCAUUACAUCGGUUGUUUAAGGCUCGCCAGUUUCUCGAUGAAAACAAUUAAAAAUUCAGUCCAGGAACGAUUUCUUGUUCUGGAAAAGAAAAAAGCUGGUAGUAGAAGGUAGUAAGAAGGAGAAGAAGCAGAACUCUGAAGUUCUCCAUCAAUCUCUCUCUCCGGUGUCCAAGGGGAAACGUUGCUUCUUCUUCCUUUCUAAGUGGAUUUUGAUCUGACAACUUAUAUAGAUUGGCAUGGAUAAAGUAAGUCAUCCUCUUGUCUGUAAUGAAUCAUUACUUUGUGAGAUACUGAGUAGACUACCUGUUAAGUCGCUCAUGAGGUUCAAGUGCGUAAGCAAACCCUGGCUAUAUUUGAUUAAAAAGGAUAGGUACUUCAUUGAUUUACACUUCACUCGAUCAAAUACAGCACCAAAGUCUAUAUCCAUGCUUGUUGCGGUGUUUGAUUCCGAAAAAAAUAAAGAAAUGAGCUUGCUAUCAACAGAGAUAAUGCUGCCCUAUGGUGGUGAAGACGAACAUGAAGGAGGAGGUGGAAGAGGAGUCGGAACUAUUCAAAGGAAAUUACUUGGACCGUGCUCUGCUACCAGACAUAGGUUUCUCAAUGGUUUGAUUUGUUACAUAGAAAAAGACGAAGUAAAGAUUGAUCGUGUUUGCGUGCAAAACCCCAGCACUGGAGAAUCAACACCUUGGGUCUCAUCAUUGAUUAGACAACAAUUUGGAGAAGAUUGUUCCAGUGUUGUACUAAAUGCAAAUGGAAGUGCGACUUACAAGAUAUCACCUACGCUUUCUUCUUGUGAGUUUGGAUAUGAUCCUGUCACCAAGGAACACAAAGUGGUCGGUUUGUGGGGUACAGGUAAAUGGGAUAUGGACGGCAAGAUCAUAAGUGAGAAAUGUGUCUGCGAGGUCUGGACUGUUGGAAGCAAUUCAUGGAGAAGGAUUGAUGAUCACCCCAGACAUGAUCUGGUUAAGAUGGGCUUCAAGUCUACUAAAUAUGCAAAUGGUUCCAUAUAUUGGCUGGGUUAUUCUUGUAGCAAUGAUCACUGCAUCAUCGAAUUUAAUGUUGGGAGUGAAAAGUUUCGAGAAAUCUCCCUUCCUAAUUUCAUAAGAGAUGAUAUUGGAGUCGCAUGUGGUACUAAAUUGAUUCAAAUCGAUGGUCAUUUAGCUAUAUUAGCUUUGGGGAUGAGCUAUCCCUCAUUCCAAAACAACCGUAUUAUAUGGGUAAAUAACACCAAGACAUCAACCAAGAUGUGUAUAUUGUAUGACAUUAAUAAUGAUCAAGAUGCCAGGUCUACUAGCAGUGCAAGUAUUUGUAGUAACUAUUAUUGGAUGGAAGGAACAUUCUUAAUGCCGCCAUUUGAUCCAGAGACAGGUAGUCGUUCUAUUCAAACCAUUCCAGGGACAGAUUUGUUCAUCGUAAGGUCCUACAAGGACCAUGAUUUAUCUUUCUAUUAUUACAACUGGAAGAAGAAGAGUUUUAGCAGUUCCAAGUUUGAAGUACAUGGAAUAUUGGAGCUGAUUCAGGACUAUAAAGUACCAGUCUCUCUUUCAGAACUCCUUAUAUAUACUUUCAGAGAAAGCAUUUUACCUGUAAAUCCUUUAUAAUCACAGGUGAAAGCAACUUCAGUUGUCUCCACGGAUGCAUUCUCUGCUGAAGCUGCUACUCUCCGCUCGGUGUUGUCUUGGGUGUCAGAAACGAAUCCUCAUGAAGUAUGUGCUGUUGGGGUUCCAAUUACCAUCUGGACAAGCUCAAAAGCCUGCUGAAGGUGGAAGUUUACAGAGGAGUUAAACAUUAGGUCAAAGGAUUAUGGGAAACAUGAUGGACAGCCUCUUGCUCAGAAGUCUGACAUCAAAAUUGGAAACUCGUCCUUCAGAUGCUGUGGCGUAAUCUUCUCUUGUUAGAUGCCAAAUGUCGUUGAACCUGAUUCUUAUGCUGAGGAAGAUAGUACCCUGCUGAGAACAGUUUAGACCAAAUGCGUCACUCAAUUACUAUUGCUAGGUGCAAUUGGUAGUACUCAGCCAGGGAAAUUGAGUACCCUCUUUAGUUUCACAAAUGCAGAAGAAUACCUAUAGUCUAUACUAAUAUGUGAAUCCAAAGCCUAAUGACUAUACUGUCAGCCCAGGGAAGUGGCUGUCUCUGUCCGACCCACAAGUCUCCUGAUAUUGUCCCUGCUUCAGCCACUGCCAGGGAUGUUUUCUUCGAGACAACCCAGGCGCAAGGACCAAAGCCUACCUCAUCCAAAAGGCUGUUGGAACAUGCAAGUGCAAGCAUGGCCUUAAGAACAAUAAGCUCUCACCAGGAAAUUUGUGAUAUUACAAUCUUACCCAAUAGGGCGUCUCAAGUUGACAGCAUUCAGUCGUUUCCCAACCAAACUGUUAUUUUCCCCGCUGUGGCCACCGAUACAGUGCCGGUUUUGCUCAUGGUUGAUCCCAGCCCAAACCAAGUCCAAGCCCCUAAAAAGGCCUCGGCACAUUGGAAUGCAGGCUGUGCUCUAGAUGCUCUCUGUUUGCAGUUUGAGUCAUCAUAGUAGCCAAUCGCCAGACUACUCUCACCAAGUAAACACUUUAGCUAUCUUGUAAAUUCAGACACCCCAUUGGAAUAGCAUGAGUAGUGCCCACUGACUCCCUGUACCAAACUUAUCUCUCGAAAGAGUAUAAGCACAUUUUGUCUUCAACUGCUGCACAUGAAAGAGAAGUAAUUUGCACGAUGUAAAAUGCAGAACAGAUACUGAAACAAGCUGAAAGGGCCACAGAAGGUUGCUAUACUGGGUAUUUUGCUAUCUGUGUUAGAGUGUGCUGCUUCGUACAAUUCAUAUUAAUAUUCUUAUAAUGUGUAUGCACCAUCCUUCUGACAGGCGGCUUCUGAAUCUUCUCCGCCUGGAACUUGCAUAUAUCUGGACAUGUUGCAAAAAACAGCUAAAAAGUCUGACACUAACAGUGAGAAAACAGUGGAAGCAUACGGCCCCCUCUGCUAUUGCUGGAGAAGAGAAACUAGAGGACAUAGCAGAAGACAAGUUGGUGUCUUUUUGUGGGCAAAUACUAAAGGAGGCAUAGGACCUCCAGUCUGGCACAAGUGACGCUGCUUAUGUGGACACUCAUAGAGUUCUGGAAUGUGAUCCAUAAUUAUUAUUCAAGGUAACAUUGUUUAGUUGUUUAUGUACAUUGUCUUGUUUGUGCUGUAGUAUACAUCUCUGCUGGCAUACGUUUAAAGUUUGGGGGAAUGCAACAAAGUGUGCUAUCUGAAAUUGUACCCUCCUCUUGUUAUUCCAUCAGUAAUGCUUACCUUUCUCUAAUUAGUAGUCCAUCCAUUGAAACAUCAGCCGGCAUUUUCCAAAAAGUCACGACAUGGGUGAAGAAACCAUCUGCUUAUUUUGCGUCUUUUCCAAAUAAAUCAUCUGAAUGUAGAAUGUUGCCAUGCUCCGAUGUAUGAAAAACCUAGCGCUUGCUCUUAGCAUCUUGAU